CCUUGUUGAAGACGAAGACAGCACAACAGAACAGGAGUCUGUGGAAAUUGUGGAACGACAUUGUUUCAGUCUCCUCUUCCUGAUGAUGCACAUGUGAGGCUAACUGAGGAGUUUAAUGAGGGAGAACCCACAGAACUGAACUGCAUGAAGUAGGACUGAUAAGGCUGGGUGGAAGUUGCCAAUGUGUCCCUUCCUUCACUCCUGACAAAAGCCACAGGAAAUCUGAACAAACUUCAAUCUACUGGUUAUUUUGAUCAUAAUAUUUAUGAUCUGGUUUUACUGUAUUGUCUUAUAUUGUACUUUGAGUCAACAUCUCUGCAUUUUAUACUUUGUUGAAUGUUUUCUCGUGAUAUGCAUUCAUAUAUUCUCUUGGGGAUUAAUAAAGUAUAUCUAAUCUAAAUGUGUGUGCGCUCUUUUAGUUCAAUGUUUAUUCUUCUAUAUCUGUCAUUCAGUAGGUUUACAGAGCACAAUAUUGCAGUGGAAGAAGAAGACAUCUUGGCUGAACUUGCCAAACAGAUUCAGUCUAACAAGGUGUCAAGAUUUAAUAUUAAUUAAUCGUGGAGAUAUCUGGGAUGGAGCUCUCCGUGGGUUCAGACGACGCACUUCUAAUCCCACUUAUACUAUGUUGGUAAAAUUUACUGAUGAUUCUGGCAAUACUGAACAUGCAAUUGGUGCUGGUGGACCAAAAAGAGAGUUUCUUCAGCUCUUAAUUCACGAUUUACAGUAUCGAAGAAUUUCUGAAGGCAAAGAAAAUGAAAAAUAUUGAAGGUGCGAUAAAGCAGCAGAACAUACUGGUUUACAGCUCCUUUUUUCUGAAGCCCUUGCCAAUGAUGAGUACUUUAUACCAUUGGAAGAGUGAUUGCUGUAUCACUUAUCCAUGGUGGUCCUGGCCCACAGUUUUUAUCUCGUAACCUUGUGAAUUACAUUGUGGGAACUGGUGAGAUUUCUCCAUCAAUUGAAGACGCAUCAGAUCCUGAUAUUUACAAGAUGCUCCAAAAGUAUAUUAAAUCCAGAUAAAAAUGGCAUCAAGUCUCAACAUCCUGAGCGAUACUAUAGGAGAAAAUGGCACAAUGCUUCUGAUAGAUAGCAGGAUGCUUUAACCAUGUUAAAGAAGUUGAUGAAAGAGAGAAACGUGUUCAGGAUUAUCUGGAAUGGCACUUUUUUACAAGAAACAGUCAAUGUAUUGGAAGAUUUAAAGAUGGAUUAUCCACUCUCAAUCUACUUGAACAAAUGAAGCAGUGCCCGGGUGUAUUUGUAAACUGCAUGUGCUUUUCUCAAAGCAAGAUCAAUGCAGAAGCCAUUGAAGAUCAUUUUAAGAUACAUUUCAGUGAGGCAGGCAGCAGCUGGAGACACGAGGAAGGAGAACUGCUGCCUAUUGUGCAGACCACCUCUUGGAUAUUGAAGCCUCUGAUAAAACUUCAACUUGUGAUCCUUCAUUAGAAGACAUUUUAAUGUUUGCAACUGGCCUUCGUGCUCUACCACCAUUAGGACUGCAGCCAAGACCAACAAUUUGCUUUCGCCAUGAUGGGUCACUACUGCCAGUGGCCAACACUUGUGGCAACAUCUUAACUCUGCCAAUCCAUAAAACCUAUGAUAAUUUUAGAUUUUGUGUUAGUUUUGGAAGUUUAAAUUCACCGGGUUUAGGCCAGUAUUAACCUGAGUCACUAUUUGUAUAUACAUAUUUCACAGUAAUCUACUGUAGUGUGCAGUCAGAGACAGAGCCUGGAAAGCUUUACCAAAGAGUUAGGAGCUACCGUCAUCAGAGUGGGUGUGUAUGCUACAUACGUUUUGCCCAAAAGGAAUUAGAGGUGAGAAAUCACCCACAAAAAAGAGAAUAAAGAACGACCUGAGAUGAAACAAGCAAUCCUGUCUCAGAGAACUAGAAAAAAAAAGGGCAAGACAGCAA